CUCAUCUGGCAUAGCAUCUUGCUGGCACAGGGGUUCAUCCCUGAAUAACACCAUGGAGUGGCAUUGAAGUAGUGUGAGCCAAGAACAGACCUGGAAAUGGUCCAUUUGAUCCAGGGUGGCCACACAGCUGAACUAAAUGCAUCCAGGCUGAGGACAAUAACAACCCAGUCCAAGAAGGGUCUGUUUUCCAUUGGAAACAAGGAGGCCUUUUUUCUUGUCCCCUUUCCUUUUUGAAAAAAUAGCUGCAGGAGAGAAGUAGCUCAUCUUGAGAGAUCUUUAAGGGUUGUAGUGGAGCUUAGUGUCCCCCACAGAGCUCUGUGGUCCAACCUGGGUGGACACUGCCUGGCUCCUGGGAAAAGCUGCUACAGCCCCAGGCUAGAAGCCUCUCUCCCAAACCCAUGUGAGCAAGGAGCAGCAGCCAAGGAGCCGCCCCGGAGGAGGGCUAGACACUCCAUGAUGAUAACACAUUGACACUUAAUUUGGGUGGCGUCCUUAAGCUGAGCACUGUUCCACAACUCAAGAAUGUUCCGGAUCACUGGAAGACACCGCCUCUGUGGCUGCCUGGAUUUUUUUUUUUUUUUUAAUUUCGUUUGAACAGUGUGCCCAGAAGUAGGACAUAAAUCAGUCUCUAAUGCAGAGAGAACCAUAUCCAACACAACCUGACCUUUUCCCCUGACUUGGGUGAUGGUUGGGAACAUUGAUGAUUGAGCAUAGUGGUGUCCAGCGAUGUCCUAAGGGCUGUUGAGGUGGGUCCUGUUGUUAGACUGUGUCCUGCCUCCCUCCUUCCCUUCCUUCUCUCCCUUCUGACCUCUCUGUUCCUCCUCCUCCUCCUUCCCCUUUUCCUCUGUCCCUCCCAAUCUCCC
rnacentral:lncRNA from 1 species